rnacentral:lncRNA from 1 species
GUCCUGGAACUCACUCUGUAGACCAGGCUGGCCAUGAACUCAGAGUUUUGCCUGCCUCCCGAGUACUGGGAUUAAGACAUAUACCACCACACCUGACCCAGUCACACACCUUCUGAUGUUACACAAAGUCAGGGCACUGGGAUGGCUCAGCAGGUAAAGGUGCUGGUUGCCAAGCCUGCCAACCUCAGCUCAAUCCCCAGAGAUGAGUGGUGGAAGGAGAGAACCAAUCCAAAAGCAUUGCCCUCCGACCUUUACCGUGCACUGGCAUACACACACGAGUGCAAGAAAUAUUUCAGUCAGGUUAGGUUAAGCCACUGGUGGAAAAUGGAAUAACAUAGUUUAUUCUUGUAUAAUUAGAAAAUUAAGAUGCCUUAAGGGAAGUUAAAUACUCACACAUGAAUGACCAGGAACGCUCUAGGAGAAUUGAGUUGGGAGGCAGGGCUGCCCUCACCAUAUGUCGAAGCACAAACUGUAGCACUUAGACUUGGAAUUGAUACAGAAGCAGAUCAGCCAAUGCCUGGUGGCUGUAAGUUCAGUUAUGUGUAGCAACAAGAGGCUUUCUAUCCACGUCACUCCUUACAAAGUCCAGACAGAACCAACAGAAAUAAAAGCAAGACUGCAAAAG